rnacentral:tRNA from 1 species
CGCGGUGCCCGAGGUACGGAGACGGUCUGCAAAACCGUUCACACGGGUUCGAUUCCCGUCAUCGCGUCCA